rnacentral:rRNA from 1 species
UACAGAGGUCUCAAGCGUUGUUCGGAUUCAUUGGGCGUAAAGGGCGCGUAGGUGGCGCCGUAAGUCGGGUGUGAAAUUUCGGAGCUUAACUCCGAAACUGCAUUCGAUACUGCCGUGCUUGAGGACUGGAGAGGAGACUGGAAUUUACGGUGUAGCGGUGAAAUGCGUAGAUAUCGUAAGGAAGACCAGUGGCGAAGGCGGGUCUCUGGACAGUUCCUGACGCUGAGGCACGAAGGUCAGGGGAGCAAACGGG